rnacentral:rRNA from 1 species
AGAACGAACGCUGGCGGCAGGCCUAAUACAUGCAAGUCGAGCGCCCAGCAAUGGGAGCGGCGGACGGGUGAGCAACACGUGGGAACAUGCCCUUCGGUACGGAACAACUCAGGGAAACUUGAGCUAAUACCGUAUACGCCCCGCAAGGGGGAAAGAUUUAUCGCCGAAGGAUUGGCCCGCGUCCGAUUAGCUAGUUGGUGAGGUAACGGCCCACCAAGGCACCGAUCGGUAGCUGGUUUGAGAGAACGACCAGCCACACUGGGACUGAGACACGGCCCAGACUCCUACGGGAGGCAGCAGUAGGGAAUCUUGGACAAUGGGGGAAACCCUGAUCCAGCCAUGCCGCGUGAGUGAUGAAGGCCUUCGGGUUGUAAACUCUUUCGGCGGGGACGAUAAUGACGGUACCCGCAGAAGAAGCUCCGGCUAACUUCGUGCCAGCAGCCGC